UCCGUAGUGGGUACUGUUUCAUUAGAUCCUCUGAUAGACAACCCGUGAAUAUAUUAACCCUUUCCCCGUUGAAGCCGUCAUAUGACGGCCAUUCUAGUGGUCAUUUUCAAAAAUUCUUUGUGCCCACUGUGUUGGAGCUAUGCACACACUGUAGGUACCAGCACAUGCGCAUUGAGCUGCUCUUUCACAUGGUAUCUUUAAUAUGCUGCCUCGAGGUACGCUUUGUACAGUAAUGUCGAAAGAAAAGUGACCGUUUGAUAAUGUUUCAAGAUCUUCGUAGUACAAUCUCAGUGAGGUUCUAAAGUAGCUAGACAGUGAGAAUAUCGAUGCUUUAUGGCCUUGUUGAGUGAGAGGACUGUGACUGGGAUCGUAGCUAGAUAAAAAGCUACCUCAAGCUAGAAAAUAUAGAGCCUGAAGGCCUGAGGAAGAAGCUCUUGCGAUGGAACAACUUCUUGGAUCUGGUGAAGAAAACAUUUCCCGGGAAAAGGGCGUCUGCUGAUACGACCUCGCAGAAAACUUUCUGCAGAUCCUGAUUGAACCAUGUCACCGUGAGAACAUUGAGAACACUUAUUUAGUGUCUUUAGCCACUCUGUGCCUUCAUACAAUAUUAUUUGUGUACAUAGUUGUGAA